rnacentral:rRNA from 1 species
GACGAACGCUGGCGGCGUGCUUAACACAUGCAAGUCGAACGGUGAAGCUCCAGCUUGCUGGAGUGGAUCAGUGGCGAACGGGUGAGUAACACGUGAGCAACCUGCCCCUGACUCUGGAAUAAGCGCUGGAAACGGCGUCUAAUACUGGAUACGAGAAGGGUCCGCAUGGGCACUUUCUGGAAAGUUUUUCGGUUGGGGAUGGGCUCGCGGCCUAUCAGCUUGUUGGUGAGGUAAUGGCUCACCAAGGCGACGACGGGUAGCCGGCCUGAGAGGGCGACCGGCCAAACUGGAACUGAGACACGGCCCAGACUCCUACGGGAGGCAGCAGUGGGGAAUAUUGCACAAUGGGCGAAAGCCUGAUGCAGCGACGCCGCGUGGGGGAUGACGGCCUUCGGGUUGUAAACCACUUUCAGCAGGGAAGAAGCGAAAGUGACGGUACCUGCAGAAGAAGCACCGGCUAACUACGUG